AAUGGGUCAGCGACUUAUAUUCUGUAGCAAGGUUAACCGAAUAGGGGAGCCGAAGGGAAACCGAGUCUUAACUGGGCGUUAAGUUGCAGGGUAUAGACCCGAAACCCGGUGAUCUAGCCAUGGGCAGGUUGAAGGUUGGGUAACACUAACUGGAGGACCGAACCGACUAAUGUUGAAAAAUUAGCGGAUGACUUGUGGCUGGGGGUGAAAGGCCAAUCAAACCGGGAGAUAGCUGGUUCUCCCCGAAAGCUAUUUAGGUAGCGCCUCGUGAAUUCAUCUCCGGGGGUAGAGCACUGUUUCGGCAAGGGGGUCAUCCCGACUUACCAACCCGAUGCAAACUGCGAAUACCGGAGAAUGUUAUCACGGGAGACACACGGCGGGUGCUAACGUCCGUCGUGAAGAGGGAAACAACCCAGACCGCCAGCUAAGGUCCCAAAGUCAUGGUUAAGUGGGAAACGAUGUGGGAAGGCCCAGACAGCCAGGAUGUUGGCUUAGAAGCAGCCAUCAUUUAAAGAAAGCGUAAUAGCUCACUGGUCGAGUCGGCCUGCGCGGAAGAUGUAACGGGGCUAAACCAUGCACCGAAGCUGCGGCAGCGACACUAUGUGUUGUUGGGUAGGGGAGCGUUCUGUAAGCCUGUGAAGGUGUACUGUGAGGUAUGCUGGAGGUAUCAGAAGUGCGAAUGCUGACAUAAGUAACGAUAAAGCGGGUGAAAAGCCCGCUCGCCGGAAGACCAAGGGUUCCUGUCCAACGUUAAUCGGGGCAGGGUGAGUCGACCCCUAAGGCGAGGCCGAAAGGCGUAGUCGAUGGGAAACAGGUUAAUAUUCCUGUACUUGGUGUUACUGCGAAGGGGGGACGGAGAAGGCUAUGUUGGCCGGGCGACGGUUGUCCCGGUUUAAGCGUGUAGGCUGGUUUUCCAGGCAAAUCCGGAAAAUCAAGGCUGAGGCGUGAUGACGAGGCACUACGGUGCUGAAGCAACAAAUGCCCUGCUUCCAGGAAAAGCCUCUAAGCAUCAGGUAACAUCAAAUCGUACCCCAAACCGACACAGGUGGUCAGGUAGAGAAUACCAAGGCGCUUGAGAGAACUCGGGUGAAGGAACUAGGCAAAAUGGUGCCGUAACUUCG
rnacentral:rRNA from 1 species